rnacentral:lncRNA from 1 species
UGCAAGAGUAGUUGGUGUUCUUGAUUUGAAUUGCCAUUGAUGUCAAGACAUGAUACUACUUAUGAAUUUGGCUGAAUUUUCCUGUUCUCUAGCCUUUGAAAAUCUUCAUAAAUGGCUACAUAACAAGUGCAAGUUUCCCUCCUGUUCAGUGAAAAGUACCAAUCAGGCUGUGAUGACUGUGACAUCUCUUACCAAGAGAGAACAAAGAAACCAUUCAACUCUAAAUAAUCAUCAAAGUCUGGCUUGUCAGACUUAGGGUACGUGGCCUAUUAAGCUUUAUUGAGGGCACAUUGUGAAAGCAGUGGUGGUUAAAUAAGUGCACAGGCCCUUGCAUGAUUAGUUAUGCAUAUGGCACAGUGAUCUUGUUAAAAUCAGAUUUUAUUCAAAGAAAGCAGAACCAUCUCCACUAAAACUAAAGCAUGGCAUAAAAUCAAGCAGUGCUUCUCUGCAAGCUGAAAAUGCCUUGUUCUUAUUUCUGUAUUUUGUUUCUGAGACUGUUUAGCCUGGAGAAAAGAAGGCUCAGAGGGAUCUUAUCGGUGUGUAUAAAAGCUGGUGGGAGGGAGCACAGAAGACUGAGAAAGACUUGUCUCAGUUGUGCCCUGCGAAAGGGCAUGAGGCAAUGAACACAAAUGGAAACAGAAGAAAUUCCUCUUAAACAUAAGAAAAAGCUUUUCUUACUGUGAGGGUGGUUGAAUCCAGGAGCGGGUUGCCCAGAGAAGCUGUGGAAUCUCAUCCUUUUGAGAUAUUCGACACCUGACUGGACACGGUCCCAGGCACCCUGCUCUAGGUAACCCUGCUUGAGGAGGGAGUUUGGACUAGAUGAUUUCCAGAGGUGCCCACCAUCUCAGCGAUCCUGUAAACGCAGGAGUUCAACGUGAUAGGCUUUAGGCUAUCCUAAAAUGUUAGGCUGUAUCCUAAAAUGUUUCACAGUUAAGUAGUAUAGUUGUGAAGAUAAAAUUAGCAACUGAUUGAAGAUGGAGGGGGGAUUUACAGAUAUACCAUUAAGGAGGAGAAGAGAUGUUUUCAGCUAAGUUAUAAAAUACCCCAAGAAUCAGUGAGGUAAAGAUAGUCUACAGGAAAUGAAACAGGAGAAAUACAGCCCUACUGUCAUUAUUGGCUAGUUAGUAAAAGUAAAUCAUAGUGUAAUGUCAGUUAUUGGUAGAUACUGCAAUACAGAAAGUCUAUUUCAUUUUUUUCUCGUGUGUGUUGAAUUUAUACCGUGUGACUUGUGUCUGUGAAGAACUUUCAGCUGCUUCAUCUAGCUAAGGUGUCUCAGAGCUCAUGGAGGUACCUGCGAAGCAUUGCAGGAGUCAAGCUGAUAGAAGACAAUACAGUGCCUUAUCAGGUUGGUUACAAUAAAAGACUGAGCUGCUUUUAAAGCUACCUAUAA